rnacentral:rRNA from 3 species
UUAAGCGACUAAGCGUACACGGUGGAUGCCCUGGCAGUCAGAGGCGAUGAAGGACGUGCUAAUCUGCGAAAAGCGUCGGUAAGGUGAUAUGAACCGUUAUAACCGGCGAUGUCCGAAUGGGGAAACCCAGUGUGAUUCGUCACACUAUCGUUAACUGAAUACAUAGGUUAACGAGGCGAACCGGGGGAACUGAAACAUCUAAGUACCCCGAGGAAAAGAAAUCAACCGAGAUUCCCCCAGUAGCGGCGAGCGAACGGGGAGCAGCCCAGAGUCUGAAUCAGCUUGUGUGUUAGUGGAACGGUCUGGAAAGUCCGACGGUACAGGGUGAUAGUCCCGUACACCAAAAUGCACAGGCUGUGAACUCGAAGAGUAGGGCGGGACACGUGGUAUCCUGUCUGAAUAUGGGGGGACCAUCCUCCAAGGCUAAAUACUCCUGACUGACCGAUAGUGAACCAGUACCGUGAGGGAAAGGCGAAAAGAACCCCGGCGAGGGGAGUGAAAAAGAACCUGAAACCGUGUACGUACAAGCAGUGGGAGCACCUUCGGGUGUGACUGCGUACCUUUUGUAUAAUGGGUCAGCGACUUAUAUUCUGUAGCAAGGUUAACCGUAUAGGGGAGCCGCAGGGAAACCGAGUCUUAACUGGGCGUUAAGUUGCAGGGUAUAGACCCGAAACCCGGUGAUCUAGCCAUGGGCAGGUUGAAGGUUGGGUAACACUAACUGGAGGACCGAACCGACUAAUGUUGAAAAAUUAGCGGAUGACUUGUGGCUGGGGGUGAAAGGCCAAUCAAACCGGGAGAUAGCUGGUUCUCCCCGAAAGCUAUUUAGGUAGCGCCUCGUGAACUCAUCUUCGGGGGUAGAGCACUGUUUCGGCUAGGGGGUCAUCCCGACUUACCAACCCGAUGCAAACUACGAAUACCGAAGAAUGUUAUCACGGGAGACACACGGCGGGUGCUAACGUCCGUCGUGAAGAGGGAAACAACCCAGACCGCCAGCUAAGGUCCCAAAGUCAUGGUUAAGUGGGAAACGAUGUGGGAAGGCACAGACAGCCAGGAUGUUGGCUUAGAAGCAGCCAUCAUUUAAAGAAAGCGUAAUAGCUCACUGGUCGAGUCGGCCUGCGCGGAAGAUGUAACGGGGCUAAACCAUGCACCGAAGCUGCGGCAGCGACACUAUGUGUUGUUGGGUAGGGGAGCGUUCUGUAAGCCUGCGAAGGUGACCUGUGAGGGUUGCUGGAGGUAUCAGAAGUGCGAAUGCUGACAUAAGUAACGAUAAAGCGGGUGAAAAGCCCGCUCGCCGGAAGACCAAGGGUUCCUGUCCAACGUUAAUCGGGGCAGGGUGAGUCGACCCCUAAGGCGAGGCCGAAAGGCGUAGUCGAUGGGAAACAGGUUAAUAUUCCUGUACUUGGUGUUACUGCGAAGGGGGGACGGAGAAGGCUAUGUUAGCCGGGCGACGGUUGUCCCGGUUUAAGCAUGUAGGCUGGUUAUCCAGGCAAAUCCGGAUAAUCAAGGCUGAGGUGUGAUGACGAGGCACUACGGUGCUGAAGUAACAAAUGCCCUGCUUCCAGGAAAAGCCUCUAAGCAUCAGGUAACAUCAAAUCGUACCCCAAACCGACACAGGUGGUCAGGUAGAGAAUACCAAGGCGCUUGAGAGAACUCGGGUGAAGGAACUAGGCAAAAUGGUGCCGUAACUUCGGGAGAAGGCACGCUGGUGUGUAGGUGAAGCCCCUGCGGGUGGAGCUGAGACCAGUCGAAGAUACCAGCUGGCUGCAACUGUUUAUUAAAAACACAGCACUGUGCAAACACGAAAGUGGACGUAUACGGUGUGACGCCUGCCCGGUGCCGGAAGGUUAAUUGAUGGGGUUAUCCGUAAGGAGAAGCUCUUGAUCGAAGCCCCGGUAAACGGCGGCCGUAACUAUAACGGUCCUAAGGUAGCGAAAUUCCUUGUCGGGUAAGUUCCGACCUGCACGAAUGGCGUAAUGAUGGCCAGGCUGUCUCCACCCGAGACUCAGUGAAAUUGAACUCGCUGUGAAGAUGCAGUGUACCCGCGGCAAGACGGAAAGACCCCGUGAACCUUUACUAUAGCUUGACACUGAACAUUGAGCCUUGAUGUGUAGGAUAGGUGGGAGGCUUUGAAGCGUGGACGCCAGUCUGCGUGGAGCCAACCUUGAAAUACCACCCUUUAAUGUUUGAUGUUCUAACGUUGGCCCCUGACCGGGGUUGCGGACAGUGUCUGGUGGGUAGUUUGACUGGGGCGGUCUCCUCCCAAAGCGUAACGGAGGAGCACGAAGGUUAGCUAAUCCUGGUCGGACAUCAGGAGGUUAGUGCAAUGGCAUAAGCUAGCUUGACUGCGAGCGUGACGGCGCGAGCAGGUGCGAAAGCAGGUCAUAGUGAUCCGGUGGUUCUGAAUGGAAGGGCCAUCGCUCAACGGAUAAAAGGUACUCCGGGGAUAACAGGCUGAUACCGCCCAAGAGUUCAUAUCGACGGCGGUGUUUGGCACCUCGAUGUCGGCUCAUCACAUCCUGGGGCUGAAGUAGGUCCCAAGGGUAUGGCUGUUCGCCAUUUAAAGUGGUACGCGAGCUGGGUUUAGAACGUCGUGAGACAGUUCGGUCCCUAUCUGCCGUGGGCGCUGGAGAAUUGAGGGGGGCUGCUCCUAGUACGAGAGGACCGGAGUGGACGCAUCACUGGUGUUCGGGUUGUCAUGCCAAUGGCACUGCCCGGUAGCUAAAUGCGGAAGAGAUAAGUGCUGAAAGCAUCUAAGCACGAAACUUGCCCCGAGAUGAGUUCUCCCUGAGACUUUAAGUCUCCUGAAGGAACGUUGAAGACGACGACGUUGAUAGGCCGGGUGUGUAAGCGCAGCGAUGCGUUGAGCUAACCGGUACUAAUGAACCGUGAGGCUUAACCUU